rnacentral:rRNA from 1 species
UACGUAGGGUGCAAGCGUUGUCCGGAAUUAUUGGGCGUAAAGAGCUCGUAGGCGGUCUGUCACGUCGGCUGUGAAAACCUGGGGCUCAACUCCGGGCCUGCAGCCGAUACGGGCAGACUAGAGUUCGGCAGGGGAGACUGGAAUUCCUGGUGUAGCGGUGAAAUGCGCAGAUAUCAGGAGGAACACCGAUGGCGAAGGCAGGUCUCUGGGCCACUACUGACGCUGAGAAGCGAAAGCGUGGGGAGCAAACAGG